UCCGUAGGGUCCGCGCGUUGUCCGGAAUUACUGGGCGUACAGAGCUCGUAGGUGGUUUGUCGCGUUGUUCGUGAAAACUCACAGCUCAACUGUGGGCGUGCGGGCGAUACGGGCAGACUUGAGUACUGCAGGGGAGACUGGAAUUCCUGGUGUAGCGGUGGAAUGCGCAGAUAUCAGGAGGAACACCGGUGGCGAAGGCGGGUCUCUGGGCAGUAACUGACGCUGAGGAGCGAAAGCGUGGGGAGCGAACAGG
rnacentral:rRNA from 1 species